rnacentral:lncRNA from 1 species
CCAAAGUGCAGGGGUUGCAUAUCUACCAAUAAGCUUAUCAUUUCAAGAGGAAGUAUUUACCCAGGGAUAAGGAGAGUAAAAUUAUCACUUUCAAGCAUCUCUCAUUCAAAAACUUUGGAAUAAUUCUGUUUGGCUGUGAGACACUCUGACAUGUUUGAAGAAAAAAACAAAGCAACAACAACAAAACACUACUGAUAUAGACCAAUACAUGAUUCUGCAUUAGGCUGACCUUCAAAAUGGAAGGCACAGAACCAAGAGAAAGCAGCGAUCUUCAUUUUAUGUAUUUAACUGUAUCUGCAAAGCAAUAUUAAGGACAGUGCAAGGCACAUGAAGGCAGGCUUUGUUUUUUCUCAUGGACUGAACAUCAUUGGAGACCAGAAGAAAACCAGGAUGUCCCCGGACCUAAGACACAGGCUGUAUUCAUGGAAGUAUACACACAGGCAAACCAAAAAGGAAAGAAAAAUAAAUAAAUAACCAACUCAGCAACACAGAUUUUUGGACUUCCUGCAGAUAACUGAAAAAAAAAUAAAUAAAUAAAUUGGGAUGCCA